GUGGAGGUAAUUUGGGAGGCACAGAGCUCCUGCACAUGAAACCACGUUCUGUCGGCAGUGGUGGGUCCCUGGUGGGAAAAGAAUUUCAUUUCCACGCACACAAUCAGCCUGAGAAAGGCAAAUGGUUCUGCAGAAAGAAAUCACCCAGCAGAAAAAUUGCUCUCGAGAUCAGGCCUCGGAGACAUGAGACAAGCAAGCAAACCAGUAAUUCUCUUGGAAGAAGGAAAGCAGGAAGUCUGUUACAGAUGCUGUCGGCCACAGAAACAUCUGGGAAGAGGAUCCUAUUUUCUGCUUCCUAGGUUAAAAGAGACUUGGGUAAUCAUGAAGCUAAUCAGGCUGAUGAAGAAAGGCAACUUGCAGAGGCAGCCCGAAGGCAGUGACCCGUGGCAGGGGAGGGCUGGGGCAGCAGCUCCGGUCCCCUGGGAGUGCUCCCCACCUCGCCGCACUCACAGUGUUUUGACUCAUCCAUGCAAGAGGAAAAUGAAGGAUUUGCUGUGGCCCAGAGCAAGAGCUCUGACAGAACUCCUAUUGUCUGUGCUUGCUCGGGGUAACGGUGACACUGACGAUGAAGUCUUAUUUCUGCAGCCUUUGUACUUGGCUCAUUAG
rnacentral:lncRNA from 1 species